rnacentral:rRNA from 1 species
CGGGACGGGUGAGUAAUGUCUGGGAAACUGCCCGAUGGAGGGGGGUAACUACUGGAAACGGUAGCUAAUACCGCAUAACGUCGCAAGACCAAAGAGGGGGACUUCGGGCCUCUUGCCAUCGGAUGUGCCCAGAUGGGAUUAGCUAGUAGGUGGGGUAAUGGCUCACCUAGGCGACGAUCCCUAGCUGGUCUGAGAGGAUGACCAGCCACACUGGAACUGAGACACGGUCCAG